AUAAUGAAACCGGUAAAAAGGAGAUGUAGUUAAUAAUAUUAGAAAAUAAUAUGAAAUUAACUUAGUUAAUUAAAAUUCUAAGUAGAUAUGUGAUUAUGACAAUAUUUGCUUAUUUCUUGACAAAGUCACGUGCCAGCAGUCGCGGUAAUACGUGGUAGAUCAGUGUUAUUCAUCUUUAAUAGGUUUAAAGGGUACCUAGACAGUUAAUUAAGCAUAUAAGUGUACUAAUUAUUAACUAGAGUUUAAUGUAAGAAGGAUUGAGUACGGUGAGUGUAGAGAUAUAAUUCUGUGAUACCACUUAGGAACUGGUAAAGGCGAAGGCAACCUUUUAUGUAAAAACUGACGUUAAGGGACGAAGGCUCGUAUUAAGUAACAGGAUUAGAGACCCUAGUAUUGUGGGCAGACAAUGAUGAGUGUCAUAUGCAAGAAAAUUUUUGUGUAUAAAUGAAAGUGUAAGCACUCCACCUCAAGAGUAACGUGGCAACAUGGGAACUGAAAUCAUUAGACCGUUUCUGAAACUCGUAGUGAAGUAUGUUGUUUAAUUUGAUAAUCCACAAAUAACCUUACCACAAUUUGUAUGACUAGAUUAUUUACUAGUUACAAGCGUUGCACGGCUGUCUUCAGUCAAUGUUGUGAAACUUUGGUUAGAUCCAUUAAAUUGACGUAAACCCUUGCUUUAUUUAUAAUAAAGCAGUUCGCCUCUAUAUUGGUAGUGAUAUAAGGGACUAAGACAAGUCAUCAUG
rnacentral:rRNA from 1 species